AGCUCCAAUAGCGUAUAUUAAAGUUGUUGCAGUUAAAAAGCUCGUAGUUGAAUUUCUGGCUGGAAGGGAACGGUCCCGCAUCUUUGCGGGUACUUGCUCGUCUUCUGCCAUCCUUGGGCUUAGUCUCGCUGAUAUUAACUUAUCGGCGUGUACGAUGCCCAUCGUUUACUGUGAGCAAAUUAGAGUGUUCAAAGCAGGCUUAUGCCGUUGAAUAUAUUAGCAUGGAAUAAUAAGAUAGGACCUAGUGACUAUUUUGUUGGUUUGCGUUAUUAGGUAAUGAUUAAGAGGGACAGUUGUGGGUAUUCGUAUUCAGGUGUAAGAGGUGAAAUUCUUAGAUUAUCGGAAGACGAACGACUGCGAAAGCAUUUACCAAGGAUGUUUUCA
rnacentral:rRNA from 1 species